GGGUGAAAAGUGCGGAGAAGGGUGGCAGUUGGCUUUGUAAAAGCCAUGGCCAUACUAAGUGGUUUGAAUUGCUUCUAUUGUUCUUCCCCAUGGGUCUGAGGUUUACUGGACGUGCUGACCUGAAUGCCGAUGGCCCCAUGGUGAUAAAGAAAACUGAGCCUGGAGAAGUUGAGCAAAGUGCCCAAGGGUUGCUCAGCCUUAGUUCUUUGUGAUGCCAAGGUUUGGGUGGCAGUUGGGGGGAAGAGAAAGUUAGCCCAGAAGACAUGGAAUUGCUGGGCCAACCAACUGGAAGCAAAGCACAGUAUGGAUUUGCAUGUACUUAUACCUCCUCCGCCCCAAGGCCGCUCCACAGACUUGAACCUCCCGACCCUCCAGAAUAGGAGAGAAUUGAAUUGGGUUCCACUUAAGUUCCUGGAGGUUGGCAUGUUCCCCGUGGGCACUCAGUAAAUAUUGACCAAAUUGAAGGUUGCCCUGUGUUAUCUUCCUUUUUCUCUUUUUCCUUCCCUGGUCCUCUGGGUGUUUCUGGGGCCUUGAAAAUUUACAUAUAUUUUUCUUUAAUAUUUUUUUUUUCAGUCUUUCUGUCUCAUCAGUUCUCAGUGUGAGGCGGCUCUAUUUUAAUAUCAUUUUUUCAUAUUUGUUUUCUCUGUGUCUGGAUCUUCUCUCAGUUUCUGUUUUCUUUCUCUGAGAGUCUCCCUCUCUGUUCAUCCACUCCUCCUGUCUAUCUCUCUGCCUGUCUGUCUCUCUCUAUACACACAUACCUUUCUUUUUUGUGUUUGCUCACCUCCUGGAGUCAUCAUCUAAAGGGGUUCAGAAUCAGCCUCCCCAAAAUGUGCCACUUUGGCAUGUGGAUUCUUUGAGCUGAAGUCAGUCAAGGUCCAAAAGAUUCAGCAAGAGCUUUUUACCAUCCUCUGAGCUACCCAAGAGAAUUUAGAUAGAGGGCCUCAUCCAGGAAGAGAGCAAUCACCAGGCAUAACUAUAAGGAAUAGGGGCAAGUGUGGUAAACAGGGGAGAAGGAAGAGCAGAGAGGGCCUGAAGACCAACUUUCUGGGUCCCGUUACCUCUGCUUUGCAUGGCAAACAUUUGUUUGCCAAACAUUUGCUCUUCUCCUUUUCCUAUGAAUUAUCUUCCUCCUCUUUGAGGUCUCAGACUCCUAUCUCCUUCUCCUUAGCUCAGGAUGGCAUGUAAGCCUUACUUGCCUGACUGGCUGGGGAUAUCCUAUUGUUUUGGGGGCUCCCAUACGCAUGCAAUUAAAUUUGUUUUUCUUCUGUUAAUUUUUCUUAUGACAACUUAAUAAGUAGACUAGCCAAAAGAGUCUAGAAGAGUAGAAGGAAAUUUUUUCAUCCCCUAUGCACAAAAAAUCAUUGCCUUUAUUUUUUGAGAAAUUAGACAUAGUUGGAGAUUUUUUUUAAGUUCUCAUAAUAAUUAAUUUUACA